GGGAGUAUAGCUCAGUGGUAGAGCAUUCGACUGCAGAUCGAGAGGUCAGUGGUUCAAAUCAGCUCGCUCCUU
rnacentral:tRNA from 1 species